CUCAAAGCCUUCAGGUUGUUCCAU
rnacentral:sRNA from 1 species